rnacentral:rRNA from 1 species
CGUUCGGGUUCCGCGGGACGGGGCCGCCCCGCGAGGGACGGCGCCGCCCCGGGGGCUCGUGAUAUCUCAUCUCGCCGCCCGUCGCGAGGCGGACGGAGGGAUGGAUGAGGUUACCUGGAAAAAAUCGGGGCGAUCUAGGCGGGCGAACCUCGCCAACGAACGAUCGGACAUGGGAUAACGGAAGAGGGCGUCGGCUCGACUUCGUCGGUUCCUCGGGCCGAGGCACGUACGGUGAAUAGGGACGGUCGGGGCCGCCCGUACCGGGUCGUGAGAGGUGAAAUUCUAGGAUCGACCCGAGACGAACCGCCGCGAAAGCAUUCGGCAAGGACGCUUUCAUUAAUCAAGAACGAAAGUCGGGGGAUCGAAGACGAUCAGAUACCGUCGUAGUCCCGACCGUAAACGAUGCCGACCGAGGGCCCGGAGGAGUUACGUACGACCCUCCGGGCCCUCCCGCGAGAAAUCAGGAGUAUUCGGGUUCC